UACGUAGGUGGCAAGCGUUGUUCGGAAUUACUGGGCGUAAAGCGUGCGUAGACGGCUAUCUAAGUCGGGUGUGAAAGCCCCGGGCUCAACCUGGGAAUUGCAUUCGAGACUGAAUAGCUAGGGUACGGUAGAGGGAAGCGGAAUUUCCGGUGUAGCGGUGAAAUGCGUAGAUAUCGGAAGGAACAUCAGUGGCGAAAGCGGCUUCCUGGACCAGUACCGACGUUCAGGCACGAAAGCGUGGGGAGCAAACAGG
rnacentral:rRNA from 1 species